rnacentral:rRNA from 1 species
GAUGAACGCUAGCGGCAGGCCUAAUACAUGCAAGACGAACGGUAAGUUGAGUAGCAAUACUUGACCUAGAGUGUCGCACGGGUGCGUAACACGUAUGCAACCUACCCAUAACAGGAGGAUAGCUCCCCGAAAGGGGAAUCAACCCUCCAUAGUAAUAUUGGAUGGCAUCAUUUGAUAUUUAAAACUGAGGUGGUUAUGGAUGGGCAUGCGUCUGAUUAGUUAGUUGGCGGUGUAACGGACCACCAAGACGAUGAUCAGUAGGGGAACUGAGAGGUUGAUCCCCCACACUGGCACUGAGAUACGGGCCAGACUCCUACGGGAGGCAGCAGUAGGGAAUAUUGGUCAAUGGAUGGAAGUCUGAACCAGCCAUGCCGCGUGCAGGAAGAAGGCCUUAUGGGUUGUAAACUGCUUUUGCCAGGGGAUAAAAUAGCUGUGCGCAGCGAAUUGCGGGUACCUGGUGAAUAAGCCACGGCUAACUACGUGCCAGCAGCCGCGGUAAUACGUAGGUGGCAAGCGUUGUCCGGAUUUAUUGGGUUUAAAGGGUGCGUAGGCGGCCUUGUAAGUCAGUGGUGAAAUACUCCAGCUUAACUGGAGGGGUGCCAUUGAUACUGCAGGGCUUGAGUAAAGUUGAAGUUGGCGGAAUUGACGGUGUAGCGGUGGAAUGCUUAGAUAUCGUCAAGAACACCGAUAGUGAAGACAGCUAACUAAGCUUUAACUGACGCUGAGGCACGAAAGUGUGGGGAUCAAACAGGAUUAGAUACCCUGGUAGUCCACACUGUAAACGUUGAUGACUCGCUGUCGGCGAUACACUGCCAGCGGCCAAGCGCAAGCGAUAAGUCAUCCACCUGGGGAGUACGCCGGCAACGGUG